CUUUGUAUAUCUAUGGUUGGCACGUCCAGUAGCAUCUCUGGCUGCUGUUGACCUUGUUUUUGGAGUAAAAUACGGUGGAAGCUGAAUUAGUGAGGAUGACUCCUGCUCCUGUCAUCUCUAAGCUCCUCACACAUCUUUACCUGCACAUGAGGAAAAUCACUCCUGUAGAAUGCAGAUGUUCAGAGGGAGAUGAUGCCACAUCUGGUCCAGCUGAUGGAAGGUCUUGAAGUUCUCUGACUGGCCUCGACUGAAGAUGGUCGUCUCACUGGAUUUAAGGUUCAGAUGCUCAGUAACAAACUCCACCAAUGUGCCAACAGGGAAGCUUUAGGUUUAUUAAAUGUUGCUAUGAAGGUAUCGCUGUUUUUCUUUGUGAAUGCAAUGUGCUUCCAACUGAAACUUGAAUUAGAACUUAGAAGUAAAUCCUUCCAUCUGAAAGGAUUUAGUUGCAUUAAUAACCUCAUAACAUUCUAGUUUUUAUUCCAGUCUUGGUUGGAAAUAGAAUCUCUGUAUUGAUUCAGGUAAAAACUGAACUUCACAGCAUGUUGGAGCAAAACAACCAGAUGAAAACUGUGAUGGUGUUGGAUUGUCAGACCGUAAUGUUGCAGCUCAAAGCAGCUUUUCUAUCUCAGUUCAUUCUGACAUUCAGCUAUGAAUCAACACAGCAGAUGGUGAUCCAUGCUGUGGAAGUCUCACAUCUCCUGAUUUAAUGGAGCUGCUUUGCACUUUUUACACUGUUUAUUCACCAACACUUUAUUUAAUAAAAGUCCCAUCUAGUUUUCAUGAGGA
ensembl:lncRNA